rnacentral:rRNA from 1 species
UAGAGAUAGCUGGUUAUUCAGGAAAAGGAUUUAGUCCAAUUUUAAACCUCAACAUACCAAAAAUAUACCCUUAGCUUUAAAAUUUAUUCAAAUAAGGUACAGCCUAUUUGAAACAGGAUACAACCUAUAAUGUCGGGUAAUGUUAAAUCAUAUGACAAAGUAGGCCUAAAAGCAGCCACCUUAUAAAAAGCGUUAUAGCUUAAUCAUACACCUUAUUAAUCCUAACCAAAACCCAAAACCCUCCUUCCCCUACUGAAUGACCCCAUAUUUAUAUGGAAGCCAAUAUGUUAGAACUAGUAACAAGAAUAAAUUCUCCAACAGCACGUGUAAGCCGGAAUGAACCCUUCACCGGCAUUUACCGCCAAUGAAUCAAUAGUAGCAACAAUACAAGAAAACCCUACCUUGCCUAAACGUUAACCUUACACUAGAGCUUUUCAGGAACGAUUAAAAAAGGGGGAAGGAACUCGGCAAAUAGUAACUCCGCCUGUUUACCAA